rnacentral:rRNA from 1 species
AUUGAACGCUGGCGGCAUGCUUUACACAUGCAAGUCGAACGCGAAAGGGGGGCAACUCCUGAGUAGAGUGGCGCACGGGUGAGUAAUACAUCGGAACGUGUCCUGUAAUGGGGGAUAACGCAGCGAAAGCUGUGCUAAUACCGCAUACGUCCUACGGGAGAAAGUGGGGGACCGCAAGGCCUCACGUUAUAGGAGCGGCCGAUGCCGGAUUAGCUAGUUGGUGGGGUAAAGGCUCACCAAGGCAACGAUCCGUAGCUGGUCUGAGAGGAUGAUCAGCCACACUGGGACUGAGACACGGCCCAGACUCCUACGGGAGGCAGCAGUGGGGAAUUUUGGACAAUGGGCGCAAGCCUGAUCCAGCCAUGCCGCGUGAGUGAAGAAGGCCUUCGGUUGUAAGACUCUUUCGGUCCGGGACGGAAAUACGCACGGGUUAACAACCGCGUGUGGAUGACGGUACCGGAACGUAAGAAGACACCGGCUAACUACGUGCCAGCAGCCGCGGU